rnacentral:rRNA from 1 species
UGGGCAACCUGCCCCUCUCUCUGGGAUAACCCCGGGAGACCGGAGCUAAUACCGGAUACUCCGGCUGGAUCGCAUGGUCCGGCCGGGAAAGGUCCGCCGGAGAGGGAUGGGCCCGCGGCCUAUCAGCUUGUUGGUGAGGUAGUGGCUCACCAAGGCGACGACGGGUAGCCGGCCUGAGAGGGCGACCGGCCACACUGGGACUGAGACACGGCCCAGACUCCUACGGGAGGCA